GACGAACGCUGGCGGCGUGCCUAAUACAUGCAAGUAGAACGCUGAAGGAGGAGCUUGCUUCUCUGGAUGAGUUGCGAACGGGUGAGUAACGCGUAGGUAACCUGCCUGGUAGCGGGGGAUAACUAUUGGAAACGAUAGCUAAUACCGCAUAACAGUAGAUGUUGCAUGACAUUUGCUUAAAAGGUGCAAUUGCAUCACUACCAGAUGGACCUGCGUUGUAUUAGCUAGUUGGUGGGGUAACGGCUCACCAAGGCGACGAUACAUAGCCGACCUGAGAGGGUGAUCGGCCACACUGGGACUGAGACACGGCCCAGACUCCUACGGGAGGCAGCAGUAGGGAAUCUUCGGCAAUGGACGGAAGUCUGACCGAGCAACGCCGCGUGAGUGAAGAAGGUUUUCGGAUCGUAAAGCUCUGUUGUAAGAGAAGAACGGGUGUGAGAGUGGAAAGUUCACACUGUGACGG
rnacentral:rRNA from 1 species